AUCUGAAAGGUGCUUCUCAGCUUCCUGGACGUGGAGACACAAUAAUUCUGCAAGUCUCUUCAAAGUAAUCCUUGAGUAGUACUUUGAAACGACAAGGAUAUUGUGUUCAAUUAUUCUUUGCUUCAGAUCUUCUGCUGCUUUUUCACCCAAAAAGCCUCCAAGCAAGUUCUUCUCAGUGUCAAACUCAUCCUUGUAUGUAUUCCAAAGAGAUGUCCAUUGGAUGACCUCCAUUGUGACCAAUUGUUUCAAAAGCACCUUAAAUUUUGGAAUUUCAGAAAGAUUCUUAUCAUCCAACGCAGAAUUCAAAAGGCUUGACUGCAUUGGAUCAUGCGGUGAAAGUACCAAGUACCAACAGAUUUUCCUCAAGACCGGAAUCCACUGAGCUGGGUUUUCCCUUACAGAAGGGAUUUCAUAUAUGGCCUUAUAGCAACGACAAAUUUCAAGGUAAUCAUUGUUAUGGGA
rnacentral:misc_RNA from 1 species